AGUGAACGCUGGCGGUAGGCCUAACACAUGCAAGUCGAACGGCAGCACAGUAAGAGCUUGCUCUUACGGGUGGCGAGUGGCGGACGGGUGAGGAAUACAUCGGAAUCUACUUUUUCGUGGGGGAUAACGUAGGGAAACUUACGCUAAUACCGCAUACGACCUACGGGUGAAAGCAGGGGAUCUUCGGACCUUGCGCGAUUGAAUGAGCCGAUGUCGGAUUAGCUAGUUGGCGGGGUAAAGGCCCACCAAGGCGACGAUCUGUAGCUGGUCUGAGAGGAUGAUCAGCCACACUGGAACUGAGACACGGUCCAGACUCCUACGGGAGGCAGCAGUGGGGAAUAUUGGACAAUGGGCGCAAGCCUGAUCCAGCCAUACCGCGUGGGCGAAGAAGGCCUUCGGGUUGUAAAGCCCUUUUGUUGGGAAAGAAAAGCAGCAGGUUAAUACCCCGCUGUUCUGACGGUACCCAAAGAAUAAGCACCGGCUAACUUCGUG
rnacentral:rRNA from 1 species